rfam:Gossypium arboreum cultivar AKA8401 contig_66266_1, whole genome shotgun sequence.
AUGCGCAAGAAUUUACGGGUGCGAUCACCGGAUCCCAUCAGAACUCCGCAGUUAAGCGUGCUUGGGCGAGAGUAGUACUAGGAUGGGUGACCUCCUGGGAAGUCCUCGUGUUGCACCCC